AAGUCGGUUGUGAAAGCCUUCCGCUCAACGGAAGAACGGCAUCCGAUACUGCAUGGCUUGAGUGUGGGAGGGGAGAGCGGAACUUCUGGUGGAGCGGUGAAAUGCGUAGAUAUCAGAAGGAACACCGGCGGCGAAGGCGACUCUCUGGUCCAUAACUGACGCUGAGUGUGCGAAAGCUAGGGGAGCAAACGGGAUUAGAUACCCCGGUAGUCCUAGCCGUAAACGAU
rnacentral:rRNA from 1 species